UACGAAGGGGGCGAGCGUUGUUCGGAUUUACUGGGCGUAAAGGGCGCGUAGGCGGCCUUCUAAGUCGAACGUGAAAUCCCCGGGCUCAACCCGGGAACUGCGUCCGAAACUGGAAGGCUCGAAUCCGGGAGAGGGACGUGGAAUUCCAGGUGUAGCGGUGAAAUGCGUAGAUAUCUGGAGGAACACCGGUGGCGAAGGCGACGUCCGUGGAC
rnacentral:rRNA from 1 species